rnacentral:rRNA from 1 species
CGUAGGGUGCAAGCGUUGUCCGGAAUUAUUGGGCGUAAAGAGCUCGUAGGCGGUCUGUCGCGUCGGCUGUGAAAACUCGGGGCUCAACCCCGAGCCUGCAGUCGAUACGGGCAGACUAGAGUGCUGUAGGGGAGACUGGAAUUCCUGGUGUAGCGGUGAAAUGCGCAGAUAUCAGGAGGAACACCGGUGGCGAAGGCGGGUCUCUGGGCAGUAACUGACGCUGAGGAGCGAAAGCGUGGGGAGCAAACAGGA